CUCACAUUUAGGGUUUUUCUACUCACGAUUCUGCACGAUUCACCGCUCCCUCAUGAUUCUGGUUAGACGAUUUGAUUAACAAGGUGCCGAUUCUGCUUAAACUUCAUUGAUCCUAGUUAAGCGACGAUUUGUUGAUUUUGUCUCUCUGAUUGAUACAGAUUCGUUCAAAAAUCAAGGUAUGUAUGUUUCAGAAUGCUAUCGAUUAUAUCUUCUUCCGUAAUUCUUGCUCUGAUUGUCACAAUUUCAUACAAAUUUCUCACAAAUGACGGUGAUUUCACAUUGCUGGCUAAAGGAAAAGUGAAACGAGAGAGUUUUCACGAUAAGGUUGUAUGGAUUACUGGAGCUAGUCGGGGAAUCGGGCCCGGGUCUAUAUUACGUAGACAACAAAGGAGGACGCUUGAAGGGAACAAAGUUCUCAGUCGGGUCUGGUUCACCAUAUGCUUAUGGUGUACUAGAUAGCGGGUACAAAUAUGAUCUGACGAUUGAUGAAGCUGCUGAAUUGGCUAGAAGAGCCAUCUAUCAUGCCACAUUCCGUGACGGAGCUAGUGGCGGUGUUGCUAGAGAUCGAAAGGUUGAACGUGAUUAUCCAAGAUAUAGUGAAAGAAAAAGAAAGAAAAAGAAGUUGAACGAAUAAUUGCGGGAUUGGUGGUGGAAAAAGAGAAAGAUAACGUGGAGAAAGAGGCUAUGAAUCUAAUAAUGGCAAACAUUGAAGUGAUGCUAAAAGCUAGGUUUCAAAACGUAUAAUGUAGGUUAUAAAUAAUUUGUUUUAACAUGUAUUUUGAUAUAAUAACUUUGGUAUUUGAUGUUUUAAGUGGAAUGUUUUAUAUAAUUGUGAAAAUUUGAUGA